GAAUUUUGGACACUGGGGGCAACCCUGGUCCAGCCACCCCGCGUGUGCGAUGAAGGCCUUCGGGUUGUAACACACUUUUGGCGGGGAGGAAAAGGCGCUGGCUAAUACCUGGAGCUGCUGGCGGUACCUGCAGAAUAAGCACCGGAUAACGACGCGCCAGCCGCCGCGGUAAUAAGGAGGGUGCAAGCGUUAAUCGGAAUUAGUGGGGGUAAGGCGUGCGCAGGCGGUUUGGCAAGAAGGAUGUGAAAUCCCAGGGCUUAACCUUGGAACUGCAUUGUUAACUGCCAGGCUAGAGUAUGUCAGAGGGGGGUAGAAUUCCACGUGUAGCAGUGAAAUGCGUAGAGAUGUGGAGGAAUACCGAUGGCGAAGGCAGCCCCCUGGGAUAAUACUGACGCUCAUGCACGAAAGCGUGGGGAGCAAACA
rnacentral:rRNA from 1 species